rnacentral:rRNA from 1 species
AGUGAACGCUGGCGGUAGGCCUAACACAUGCAAGUCGAACGGCAGCACAGUAAGAGCUUGCUCUUACGGGUGGCGAGUGGCGGACGGGUGAGGAAUACAUCGGAAUCUACUUUUUCGUGGGGGAUAACGUAGGGAAACUUACGCUAAUACCGCAUACGACCUACGGGUGAAAGCAGGGGAUCUUCGGACCUUGCGCGAUUGAAUGAGCCGAUGUCGGAUUAGCUAGUUGGCGGGGUAAAGGCCCACCAAGGCGACGAUCCGUAGCUGGUCUGAGAGGAUGGAUAGGCAAACCGGAACUGAGACACGGUCCAGACUCCUACGGGAGGCAGCAGUGGGGAAUAUUGGACAAUGGGCGCAAGCCUGAUCCAGCCAUACCGCGUGGGUGAAGAAGGCCUUCGGGUUGUAAAGCCCUUUUGUUGGGAAAGAAAAGCAGCAGGUUAAUACCCCGCUGUUCUGACGGUACCCAAAGAAUAAGCACCGGCUAACUUCGUG